AUUGAACGCUGGCGGCAUGCCUUACACAUGCAAGUCGAACGGCAGCGGGGGAGAAGCUUGCUUUUCCUGCCGGCGAGUGGCGAACGGGUGAGUAAUACAUCGGAACGUGCCCUGUAGUGGGGGAUAACUAGUCGAAAGAUUAGCUAAUACCGCAUACGACCUGAGGGUGAAAGUGGGGGACCGCACGGCCUCAUGCUAUACGAGCGGCCGAUGUCUGAUUAGCUAGUUGGUGGGGUAAAGGCCUACCAAGGCGACGAUGAGUAGCUGGUCUGGGAGGACGCUCAAGCACACUGGGAAUGACACACGGCCGAGAUACCUGCGCUGGGCAGCAGUGGGGAUUUUUGAACUGUGGGCCAAAGCCUGAUCCAGCAAUGCCGCGUGUGUGAAGAAGGGCUACGGAUUGUAAAGCACUUUUGUCCGGAAAGAAAUGGCUCUGGUGAAUACCUGGGGUCGCUGACGGUACCGGAGGAAUAAGGACCGGCUAACUGCGUGCCAGCAGCCGCAGUAA
rnacentral:rRNA from 1 species